AACGAACGCUGGCGGCAUGCCUAACACGUGCAAGUCGAACGAGACCUUCGGGUCUAGUGGCGCACGGGUGCGUAACGCGUGGGAACCUGCCCUUAGGUUCGGAAUAACUCCCCGAAAGGGGUGCUAAUACCGGAUAAUGUCUUCGGACCAAAGAUUUAUCGCCUUUGGAUGGGCCCGCGUUGGAUUAGCUAGUUGGUAGGGUAAAAGCCUACCAAGGCGACGAUCCAUAGCUGGUCUGAGAGGAUGAUCAGCCACACUGGGACUGAGACACGGCCCAGACUCCUACGGGAGGCAGCAGUGGGGAAUAUUGGACAAUGGGCGAAAGCCUGAUCCAGCAAUGCCGCGUGAGUGAUGAAGGCCUUAGGGUUGUAAAGCUCUUUUACCCGGGAUGAUAAUGACAGUACCGGGAGAAUAAGCGCCGGCUAACUCCGUG
rnacentral:rRNA from 1 species